rnacentral:sRNA from 2 species
UUCUACCCAUGUGGGGAAGGAUGAGAAGCUUCGACUAAGGUUCGAUUCGAGCGCAGCGAGAAAGCGUUGCCGCAGGCAACGACCCGAAGGGCGAAGCGCGCAGCGCUGAGUAAUCCUUCCCCCACCACCA